rnacentral:rRNA from 1 species
GACGGAGGAGGCAAGCGUUAUCCGGAAUUAUUGGGCGUAAAGCGUCCGUAGGUGGUUAAUCAAGUCUUUUGUUAAAGGUUGGAGCUUAACUCUGAUUAGGCGGAAGAAACUGAUUGACUUGAGGAUGGUAGGGGUAGAGGGAAUUCCAGGUGUAGCGGUGAAAUGCGUAGAUAUCUGGAAGAACACCAGUGGCGAAGGCGCUCUACUGGGCCAUUACUGACACUGAGGGACGAAAGCUAGGGGAGCGAAAGGGAUUAGAUACCCAGUAGUCC